GGCAGUCUGGCUGCUGGAGUGCGGCGCCGCGGUGGGAACCCAGAUAGCUGGUGGGCUAGAGGGCUGGCAAGGGGGUGGCAGGAAGGCGCGGCGGCCGCGGGGCGCAGGACGAGGGUCUGCAAGGCGGCAGCCCCCCGAGGGCCAGACUUGCCGAGACCCGGGCUGGGUCUUAUUGGUGGUGAGGCGGCAGCCCCGCUCACACCAAAGAGGAGGCGGCUGUGGCGGCAGCGGCGGCCCCAGCCAUGCUGUGCUAUGUGACGAGGCCGGACGCGGUGCUGAUGGAGGUGGAAGUGGAGGCGAAAGCCAACGGUGAGGACUGCCUCAACCAGGUGUGCAGGCGAUUGGGAAUUAUAGAAGUUGAUUAUUUUGGACUGCAGUUUACGGGUAGCAAAGGUGAAAGUUUAUGGCUAAAUCUGAGAAACCGGAUCUCCCAGCAGAUGGAUGGGCUAGCCCCUUACCGCCUUAAACUAAGAGUCAAGUUCUUCGUGGAGCCUCAUCUCAUCUUACAGGAGCAGACUAGGCAUAUCUUUUUCUUGCAUAUCAAGGAGGCCCUCCUGGCUGGCCACCUCCAGUGCUCCCCAGAGCAGGCAAUGGAGCUCAGCGCCCUCCUGGCCCAGACCAAGUUUGGAGACUACAAUCAGAACACUGCCAAGUACAGCUACGAGGAGCUGUGUGCAAAGGAGCUCACCAGUGCCGCCUUGAACAGCAUUGUCGCAAAGCAUAAGGAGUUGGAGGGGACCAGUCAGGCUUCGGCUGAGUACCAAGUUUUGCAGAUUGUGUCUGCAAUGGAAAACUAUGGCAUAGAAUGGCAUUCUGUGCGGGACAGCGAAGGGCAGCGACUCCUCAUUGGGGUUGGGCCUGAAGGAAUCUCAAUCUGUAAAGAUGACUUCAGCCCAAUUAAUAGGAUAGCUUACCCCGUAGUGCAGAUGGCCACGCAGUCAGGAAAGAAUGUGUACUUGACCGUCACCAAGGAGUCUGGGAACAGCAUCGUGCUCUUGUUUAAGAUGAUCAGCACCAGGGCAGCCAGCGGGCUCUACCGGGCAAUCACAGAGACGCAUGCUUUCUACAGGUGUGACACUGUGACCAGUGCCGUCAUGAUGCAGUAUAGCCGAGACCUGAAGGGCCACUUGGCAUCUCUGUUUCUGAAUGAAAACAUUAACCUCGGGAAGAAGUAUGUCUUCGACAUUAAGAGAACCUCGAAGGAGGUGUAUGACCACGCCAGGAGGGCUCUGUACAAUGCCGGCGUGGUAGACCUCGUCUCAAGAAGCGACCACAGCCCUCCCAACUCGCCUCUGAAGUCCUCCGAGAGCAGCCUGAAUUGCAAUAGCUGUGAGGGCCUCAGCUGCCAGCAGACCAGAGUGCUCCAGGAGAAGCUGCGCAAGCUAAAGGAAGCCAUGCUGUGCAUGGUGUGCUGCGAGAUGGAGAUCAACUCGGCCUUCUGUCCUUGCGGCCACACUGUGUGCUGUGAGGGCUGCGCUGCCCAGCUCCAGUUAUGUCCAGUCUGCCGGUCACGGGUGGAACACGUGCAGCACGUCUAUCUUCCAACCCACACCAGUCUUCUCAAUCUAACUGUCAUCUGAUCUGUCGUGCACUUACUGGACAGGUCGUUUUCAUAACUGCACUAUUAUAAACUAUGAAAUGAUAGAUUGUGGAGAAAAAUAAAUACUCCAACACCCAUCUGCCAUGCAAUGCUUGCAAAAGACAAAGGAAGAAUAAAAAGAAGACGAUACUUCUCACCACCAACACAUGCCAUCAGCCGCUCCCGUGGUGGGGACCAGGAAGACCUCGGGACACAGAUAUAUUCCUCAGACUUUCCAUUCUUUUUAUGAUCAAGUAAAGGAAUAAGUAAAAUCUCCAAUGUCAGUUAAGUGGCAACAUAGCCAAAAAAUGGGUACCUUUUAAGCAGUGAUGUUGUAAGUUUCCUUAAUGUAUCCCAAGACCAUGGACUCCUCAAGCUCAGAGACUAACAUGAAAAUCAUAUUUCAAGGUGGUUUAAUGGAACUCUAAGGAAAGUGCGAUGGAGGCAGAAAACACGGGGAUUAAUUUUGGAUUACGGACCAAAGACACUAUAAACACCAACAAAGGGAAGAUACAGAAAUGAGCCUAACAAAUAUAGGGAAGGAAAAUGUGGAAGAAGAGAAAGAACAAGGGAAUGGAAAAUGCUUUUCUUUAAACUCAGAGCUCUGUGUUGCUUAUGAACCAUGAAGGUAAAUCGCAGUGUCAGGAGAGUGAAGAUGGUGGAAUUCAUUCCUUUCCAAAACUUAUCUGAUCGUCUAUAUGCAAUUUGUCAAGAGAAGACAGAAGCCACACCUCUUAAUCCAGGGAUACAUCAUUUUAUUGUGCUUCACUUUAUUGCACUUCAGAAAUAUUACAUUUUUUACAAAUUGAAGGCAAGACCCUCCACUAACGAAAAGAUUAUGAUGUGCUUUAUUGAGAUAGCCACUUAAUUGCAGUGAUCUGGAACUGAACCAGCAGUAUCUCCGAGAAAGUACAAAGCUUUUGUCUGCUUUGUUCAUUGCUGUAUCUCCCAUGCCUGGAACAGAGACUAGCAAAGGGCAAGUAUUCAAUAAAUAAUUAUUGAAUGACUUGUGGAUGCCUCGGGUUCCAGGCCAUCCUGCUCAUCAUUCCGUCACCCCGGCGUGGCCAGCAAAGUGCCCAGUACCCGCAUGCCUCUUGAAUCGAACCGACUGAAGAGCCAGUCACCUGGACCUGGCCACGUAUAUCUCUUUUGCUUUGAAAAGAAGAUGUAAAUUUAACUGCAGUUAUACAGCUGUGGUGCUGCAAGACAGGCAGACACGAUGGAGGGUGAGACUCUCUCAGGAAAACUCUAGGUUAAACUCUUGUAGGCAACUCUAAUUGCUAAAUCUACUUAGGAAGAGGAAAUGAGUUAAAUUAGGAGUCCUUCUUGUAAAUGAACCAAAUAAGAAGCUGUUGGGCAAAGUUUUUCAUUCCUCAUUCCCUUCAAUCAGCAUCCUCAGAGAAGGUGGCAGGAUAGCAAGACUUAGCAAGAGCGUUUCAUUGGGCCAAAAGCUUUGCUCCCCUGACUGUAGAAACCAAAAAGAAAGGAAAACCUGGUCUUAAGCCAGUAGGUCCCUCUUUGGCAUGUGCUUGAGAAGAAGCUGCCACGUGGUCUCUCCUGAGAUAGUAAGGAUUAUCGCUGCAAAAGGCCAGCCUCUCAGUCUUGAGUCUUUGCCAACAUGCUUCCAAUUGGGAGGGCUAAAUCCUCCUAAUUGAGCAAAAGCACACCCAGCCCCCACCGAAGUAAGCGACACAGAAGCACUGUGUAAUUCACCUCUAUUGAAGAAGCAGUUACUUGUAUUAUCUGUAGUCAUAUGGUCCAGAAAGACUUUUUCCCACAAUAUUUACAAUUUUUAAUGUAUUUGCAUCGUCUUCUGUAUCACAGGGUCCCCUUCCCUUUUUCUGAGAAACUCAACAAAAAUAUAUUGAAAUAAACAAAUAUGAUAAUAUGAAUAUCCAUAUAAAUCACCAACAUCAAUUCCAACAGAAAUGGUAUAUGUAAAAAACAAAAACGUAUAAAUGCCUGUGCACUCAUGCAUGUGUAUUCAGAAGUAGAGUGGUUAAAAAAAAAAAAAAGUAGAGUGGUAACUUUAGUGUCAGCUCUAUCAAGAUUCUAGGUAAGCGCUGUCGGUUACUGUGUGAAUUAUGGCAAGUGGUACAAAAUCUCUAAACUUUGACCCUCUUCUGUAAAAUACAGAUAAAAGUAAUACCUAUCCACAGUUGUUUUGUGGAGAUUAAAUAAGAUAAUGCUGGCAUAGCACUUAGCACUGCACCAAUCAUAUAGUAACCACUCCAUAAGUGCUGAAUGAAUAAAUUAAUAAACUGCCAUACACCCUUCAAGCUACUGGUUCAGACCACAUUUCUGAGACAAUAAGACUUUUCUCAUCCCCCAAACAACUGGGUCCUGAGACUACUGUUCACAGCUGUGUUGGUUGCAACUUAUGGGGCACCGUUCAAAGUUCAUGCCCCAAGGAUUUGUAUGUUCACUAUUACAGUUUUACUGCAUAUUACAAUGAUUUUCUAAUAGAUGGGAAAUAAAGAAUCAUGAGGAAGGGAAGACUUUGUCUACUUUGCACAAAGGCAUUAUAUGGGCAAACACUGGCCCUGGGCAAUAAAGACGAGGCACUGGCGCCAGCUCCCGGAUUAGAUGACUGGUUUCAGCCACAGUUGGGCGCAUUCAUGAUACUCCAAACACUGUAAGCAUUGUUGGACAGGGCUGAAAAGCUGCUCUCGCCCGACAGUCUUUGAGUUUCUAAAUGUUAGCUACUGUGUUUGCUGUCCUUACUAUCGUCAUUUUUUUUUUUUACUAUAUUAUUUGUUGUGUUCACACUCAUCCCAGAGGCCAUGCCUGUCUUCUAAAAUAGUCUUUCAGCAUCACCUACCUGCCAUAAUAAAAAUCGAAAAGCCAAACCCAAGUUAGCACCUUGCCAUCCAGAAGCUCGCUUGUCCUCCCUGGAAUAAGGCCCUCUGCAGACUCAGCCUCCCUCUUUAGUCUGAAAACAGGUCCUGAGUCAGGAUAGAGGACCUGCAUUACCCAGCCAGCUAGCUGAGGGGUGACAAAAAGCAUGGGAAAAAUGAAGCAGAGGUCAUGAAUCUUGGCGAGGAAAGGAAGCCAUCUGGUCAACCAUCAGAGCAAUCAGGGGUGGCCUUUUGGGUGGCUACCUGGGAACCAUAAAUAGUUACUGGGACAAGAUUGGUCAGGGCUCCAGAGUGGGAGUCUCUCCUUCUUCAAGACCCCAUAACUUGCUGCUUGUACCUUCCUGUUAUUGACUUAGAUGCUGCCUGGCCAUCCUCCUGGAAGAAGUGUGUAAAAGGCGAAGGGCACAGAACCAUCCAUGACUCUCUCUUGAUUGUUUAUACCACAACAGGAAGUCCAUGCAGGUGGAUCACAAACCCAUCCACCCACACUCAUAACAUACUUUACUGUAUCUGGAUUGUAGUGGUGGUGGUUAUCCAACUCUGUUUUUGUCAAAACCCAUAGAUCUGCACACCACACAAAGUGAAUAUUAUUGUGUAUAAAUUAAGAAUGAGAGGUUAUGGCAGACACCUUUGUUGCCUACCCAACAGCCUUUCUUCCAAACCCUAAUUCUUUACUAAAAAAACCUGUUAUUCAGGCAUCUGUCUGGCUUAGGGGAGGCUGGACCCCCACCCCCAGCCUCUUGGAGAUGCAUCUUGAUUAAUCUAAGCCAAUUGGUAAUCCAGCUCCUCUUGUCACUAAUUGGUUUAAGAAUGACAUUUGAUAACAUUCUUGCCAAUCUAAGAUGUGAGGGUCUGGGAAGCCUCUGCUUAGGUUCUGUAUUCUCUUCAAAAAGGAGCUCUUCCCUCCUGGCUUUUGGUAUUAUGUGAGGAUGUGAUGCCUGGAGCUUGUACAGCGAUCUUGUGAAGAUGGGGCGGGGGGGGGGGGGGGGAGCGGGCACACAUACAGAGAAUGGCAGACCAGACAGACGAAAAUCUAGGUCAUCCUGCCAGCAUUGAGCAGCCGAGUUCACUGAUCCUGGAGUCCCAAUCCACCCCUACCACCUCCUGACUUUCUGCUGUGGGAGGUAAUACAUGUUUUUCUCAUUGUUGAAGCGGGUUUAUUUGGUUUCCCUAUUACCUACAGCCCAAAGCCUCAUGAUUAAUACACUGGACCCAUGCUGUUAGAAAUGGGACAGGCAUCCUUGUGUAGGCCAACAACACACAACAAGUGUCUGUUAUGCCAUUGCCAAGAUACACUGUGUUUGUUUUCUUGCAGAAAUUGUCUCUUGAUUACAUGUUGACUACCUAUGGAGCCACUUGCACCUAAUUCAACCAAUAAAAACUGCUAGAAACUUAAGCCAA